UACGUAGGGGGCUAGCGUUGUUCGGAAUUACUGGGCGUAAAGCGCGCGUAGGCGGUGAUCUUUGUCAGAGGUGAAAGCCCGGGGCUCAACUCCGGAAUUGCCUUUGAAACGGGAUCGCUAGAGUCCGAGAGAGGAUGGCGGAAUUCCUAGUGUAGAGGUGAAAUUCGUAGAUAUUAGGAAGAACACCGGUGGCGAAGGCGGCCAUCUGGCUCGGUACUGACGCUCAGGCGCGGAAGCGUGGGGAGCAAACAGG
rnacentral:rRNA from 1 species